UGUGUGUGGGCGUGUUGACACAGAUAAUUAAGUCCCGGGUCGUGACGGCUCCUCCGUCACAUUAGACACUAGAGAAAAUGAAAUGUCAUUGUUUUGGAGGAAAUAUUUCCUGGGUGCACACACUGUGGAGAAUGGCAUCUGUUUUGUGAACGUUUAUCUCAGGAGGUAAUGAAGCAGCUUCUGUUCCCUGAUUUAAGCUUUGCUACCACUCAUUGGGUCCAGAAGUGAAAUAGAAAGUUCUGCAGUGUGCUUUCAGCUCUCACAUAUGCUUCUGCUGUAAGUUGCUAGUGAACCAAAAGGUGUUGUUGAAGAAUAAGUGGAUAAUGAUGAUUGAGAGCAUCUUUAAUGAGCAGAGCGAGCCAGAGAGGAGUCAUUUUGUCAGACAGCAGGAAGCCAAUGACCUGUGGGGAUAUUAAACAGCUACAAAUCUGAAAGGUGUGGCCUGCAUUUGCAGUUGAUCCCCUUAAUUUUACAUAAAUGACAUUAUACAAUAGAAGACAAACGACAUCAUGAAGACGAAGGAACACGGCAGACAGAGACGUUUAAAGCAGGGCUGAGUUCUAAAACAGUAUCCUGAGCUUUGAACAUCUCAGAGUUCUGUUAAUCACCAGAACUCUGAGAUUUUGACUCAAGGGAACAUUUAUCACGACAUGACCUUCCACUUUGACUGAUGGGCAAGCAGAAAUUUUAAGAGAAAAAGCUAAAAGAUGCAUGUUGACUCUGCGUAAGCUGCAGAGAUCCACAGCUUAAGUGGUGGAGUCUGCAGGCGGGACAACGGGGAGUCUUGCACUCCACAAAUCUGACCGUUAUAGAAGAGUUAGAAAAUGAAAAGACAUUAUAAAAAAGCACUGGUCAUUUCUUUUGAAGUUUUCCACAAGUUAUGUAAAAUGAACAAAAAUCAGUUAAAAGAAGGUGAUGAGGUUUGUGGCUUACAUGCUAAUCAAUGUUACACAACGCCCUUCCCACAGUGUAACAGGGUGGUGGCAGCAUUAUGCUAAUGACUCCUUCAGUAGAGAGUUUAUGAAAAGAUGUGUGGAGCUAAAUACAGGGCAAUACAGUGGCAAGUCUCUGGCUUAGAAUAAACCUAUUAGAGUUUGAAACACUAGAUAUGGAGGAGAAGGUUCAUCUUCCAGGAGAAUCAGAACCUCCAACAUACUGCUGGAGCUACAACAGAACUUUUUAGAUCAACAGUCUGUAACUCAAGUGCCACUGUUCUGCAACUUUUGGAUGCAACUCUGCACUAACACACCUGACUUAAAUUAAUGGCUGACAUGCCAAUUGGGUAAAUCAACCUUUUGAUUCUGGUGUGUUGGAGCUGGAAUGCAGCCAAAAGCUACAGAAUAGUGGCAGACCUCUGGUUUAAAUGAAAGCAUAUAUCAAUGUCUUAGAAUGGCCUAGUCAAAGUGCAGAUCAAAAUCCAAGACAGAACCAGCAGCAAGACUGGAAAAUCCAUGUUCACAGAUGUUUUCUGUCAAAUCUGACUGAUCUUCAGCUGAGAAUAUAAAGCCAUAAAUCAUUUUCCUUCCACUUCAUGAUGACCUUCUCCUCUCUGUCGGUUUAUCACAUAAAAUCCCUAAAAUUCAUUCAAAUCUGUGAAUUUAAUAUGAUGAAGUUUGAAGUUCAAGGGGGGUUAAUACUUAUACUAUGCACCUUAACAAGGGACCUGCUGAGUUUAAUAACGCCUCACCAGAUGUUGGUCAUUGAGACUUUGUAUGCAGGAGGAUAUAAAAUUACGGGAGGAGUGAACAAUUACAAGCAGUUCCCUAUAAAAGGAGAUUCAUCAAAUCCCUCCCUAAUAAAUAAAUAACUAUAUGGAAUAAACAUAAACUUACCACCUUUUAAAGGAAUAUGUUUAAAUUAUCUUUUCAGUGACGGUGUCAGUCGUGUUGACAGAGCCGUGUGUUCAAAUGAGAAUUAAUCUAAAAAAUUCAAUUCACGUCUUGAUUCUGUGUUUAAUGAGUGUAUCAGAACAACAUAACUCAGGUAGUCAACUGUUUCCCCUUAUGAAAUCAUAAGGGGAAUAUCAUAUUUCCUCCUCUAACUAAUUUAUAUGCCAACCAAAUUCAUUCAUAAUUCAAGUUAAAAGUUCCAACAGAAAUUGCCUGAAGAAGUUAAUGGAACAUUUUAGACAUUAAUCUAAAAAAGUUUGUAUUUGACCUUGUUAGAACUUUUCCCACAGCAAAGUCCUUUUAACCAGAGUUACACUGUUUCCUAUAAGUCUUUUUAUUUUAUUAUUUUUAGUACAUUUUUAUGUAAUUUGAUGUCUGGAAAUGAGUUUUUCUCUUUUCUUUUUUUAAUAAUCCAUCAGUGUGUACAGGAUCCAGAAGUUCUUCAAUAACUAUAAAUAAUUAAAUUGUUUGUGUAAAUUGCAUGUUUUAAAGUCAUCAUCAUGCAAUAAUUGAAAUAUCAAUAUUUUCUUUCUUAUUUUAAGCAUUUUACACUGUUUAAGCUUGAACUUGACCUCAAAUGAAGUUAUGAUGUCAAAUGUUUGAUAAGAAAUAAAAACACAAAACUAUGAUUAAAA